rnacentral:tRNA from 1 species
GCUGAGGUAGCUCAGUUGGUAGAGCAACGGUAUCGUAAACCGUAGGUCGCGAGUUCAAUUCUCGCCCUCAGCU